rnacentral:rRNA from 1 species
UCGCACGAGAAAGUGGAGCAUCCAUGAGUAAAGUGGCGUACGGGUGAGUAACACGUGGAUUAUCUACCUUUUAGUGGGGAAUACCCCUGGGAAACCGGGGACAAUACCGCAUAAGCUCGUGAGAGGAAAGCCGAAAGGCGCUGAAAGAGGAGUCCGCGGCUGAUUAGCUAGUUGGCGGGGUAACGGCCCACCAAGGCGAAGAUCGGUAGCCGGCCUGAGAGGGCACACGGCCACACUGGCACUGAAACACGGGCCAGACUCCUACGGGAGGCAGCAGUGGGGAAUCUUGCACAAUGGAGGCAACUCUGAUGCAGCGACGCCGCGUGAGCGAUGAAGCCCUUCGGGGUGUAAAGCUCUUUCGACGGGAACGAUAAUGACGGUACCCGAAGAAGAAGCUGCGGCUAACUACGUGCCAGCAGCCGCGGUAAUACGUAGGCAGCGAGCGUUGUUCGGAAUUACUGGGCGUAAAGAGUGCGUAGGCGGUGCUCUAAGUCUGUCGUGAAAUCUCCCGGCUUAACUGGGAGGGUGCGGCGGAAACUGGAAUGCUAGAGUGUGGGAGAGGUAAGCGGAAUUCCUGGUGUAGCGGUGAAAUGCGUAGAUAUCAGGAGGAACACCUGUGGUGUAGACAGCUUACUGGACCACGACUGACGCUGAGGCACGAAAGCGUGGGUAGCAAACAGGAUUAGAUACCCUGGUAGUCCACGCCCUAAACGAUGCAUACUUGGUGUGAGCGAUUCAUUUCGUUCGUGCCGGA